AUGGAUACAGGCCAGAAAGAGAGAUCAAGCGAGAAAUAUUUUCUGUCUUCUUCGCACUAUAGAGCCGCAUUAUAAUGCGGCACUUCACGGAACGUUCCAAGCUGCCAAAAUGUACGCUUCAUUUUCUUGGUUUAGAUUCGCGGUGUAAACGAAAAUUAUUGUGCGCGAAAAUCUUGUAAAAUAGAUAAUUUAAAGCAUCUGUUUAUUACGGUUUUAUUAUUGUUCUGGGGCAACACUUCAGUGAGCAGGGACUUUGGCGCGGAGCGUUCCGGUGCAUUUCGGCAACAACGCGUCAGAUUGGCAACAGCGCGACAUUUCGAUGCAACGUAAUUUUUUCAGAUGCCUUCCCAAGCCAACCAUUGCCUUUGGCAUUGAAUGCCAACGAAGGAGCGGACAAUGCUGUGCGGACAAUGCUGUGCGGACAAUGCUGUGCGGAUGAUGGAAUGCGGCCGCGUAGUGCUAAACUUAAUCAAGGAGUGCAGUGAAAAGUGCUUGCCGGAAGCAUUAAACAAUUGUAGAAAAGUUUUAGAGUAAGG